rnacentral:sRNA from 1 species
CCAUCGAAGGAUCAAAAAAUUCU